AGCAGCGGGACAUUUUUCCUUUUCUUGAGCCAAUAGGAGGCCAGAGUUGCUUUUUCAGUGAAGGCAAACACUGAAGAUGUUACCUUCCUGUUCUUGACAGCAAGAAGUUCAGAAGGAAGCUCGGGCCUGUUCUUUCUCACUAUCCCCAACAUGGUCAGAGAUUCAGGAGUCGUAGGAGAGUUGCAGACGAAAUCAUCACAGCUGAGUCUGGACAGGACGUCACUCUGACAUGUCGACCUCCAAACAACAACAUCCACAUUGUAGAGUGGAGCAGAGAUGACCUGAGAGAUGAAUAUGUCAUUGUGUACCGGAAUGGUCACUUUCUUACAGAUGACCAGCAUCCAUCUUUUAAGAACCGGGUGGAUCUGCAGGACAGACAGAUGAAGGAUGGAGACGUGUCUUUGAUUCUGAAGGAUGUGACGAUUAAUGAUGCUGGAACAUACGAGUGUGGUGUCUUCAUGGCAGAAAGACAGUCACUGAAGCUCAGCAUCAUCCACCUGAUUGUUGAUCCUCCAG
ensembl:lncRNA